rnacentral:lncRNA from 1 species
UAAUAUUGAUCCUCACCAUCGAAACCUCAUUAUGCGUCUCGCCGGAGCUCGCCGGAAUAUACUUUUUGACUCCCAGUCGAAGGUCCGGUACGUCUUGAUCGCUGUUCCAGCUUCAUUUCUAAGGUCUGGGUCGACCCAAUUGCUGUUUAUAACUCCGAUUGAUGGACAGCGACGGUGGUAGCCGCCGUUUCGUGAGGAUGUAGGGUUUUUAUUUGGGCGGAGACAAAAAUAAAAUGUUUGCUGGAAACGGUGGCGUUUUUGGUGUUGGCGGUAACAUCCAUUGUUUCUGACGUGGCAUAUUAUGCCACAUAAUCAAUACAGUUACCGCAGAGAGUUUAAACUUUAAAGAUAUUUCUUGAAGAACUUGGUGUUUUCCGCUGGAAAUUUGAAAUUCUUAUAGAGGUGGGGAGAUGUUUG